GAUGAACGCUAGCGGCAGGCCUAAUACAUGCAAGUCGAGCGGCAAGUCGAGGAGUAAUCUGAGACCUAGAGCGGCGUACGGGUGCGUAACGCGUAUGCAACCUACCUCAUACAGGGGGAUAGCCCGGAGAAAUCUGGAUUAAUACCCCAUAGCACAGCACAAGGGCAUCUGCGAGCUGUUAAAGAUUCAUCGGUAUGAGAUGGGCAUGCGUCUGAUUAGCUAGUUGGCGGUGUAACGGACCACCAAGGCGACGAUCAGCAGGGGUUCUGAGAGGAAGGUCCCCCACACUGGCACUGAGAUACGGGCCAGACUCCUACGAGAGGCAGCAGUAGGGAAUAUUGGGCAAUGGACGAGAGUCUGACCCAGCCAUGCCGCGUGCAGGAAGAAGGCCUUCUGGGUUGUAAACUGCUUUUAUCUGGGAAGAAAAGGCCCAUGCGUGGGACAUUGCCGGUACCAGAUGAAUAAGCACCGGCUAACUCCGUGCCAGCAGCCGCGGUAACAC
rnacentral:rRNA from 1 species